GAUGAAGAACGCAGCGAAAUGCGAUAAUUGAUGUGAAUUGCAGAAUUCCGUGAAUCAUCGAGUCUUUGAACGCACAUUGCGCCUCAUAGCAUUCCAUGAGGCAUGCCCAUCUCAGCGUUAGAAAAUAUUCUCAAAUUUUAGUUUUGUGCUAAAAUUUGGAUCAUGUCAAGGAAGCUAUUACUAUUAUUGUGAUCGCUCUUUGGAAAUUGAUAGGUCUUUGAGUUGCUACUCAUAGAACGUGAUGAAUCUUUCUUCGUUCUAUUGUAAUUCACUCUGGUAGUCCUAAAACUUGUAUGCCUGUGGCAUAUCUUGUAAUUUGACCUGAGAUUGGGUAGGGAUACCCGCUGAACUUAAGCAUAUCAAUAAGCGGAGGA
rnacentral:misc_RNA from 1 species